rnacentral:lncRNA from 1 species
GGGAGGCUGAGGCAGGAAGACAGCGGUGAGUUUGAGCAGCCUCAACUGCAUAGCGAGACCCUGUCUAAAAAAUAAAAAACGUCUGCUAUAGGAAACUCAUGUCAGGCACUCGCGGUGACCACAGGGCUCCAGACGUGCACCAGUGUCGCCUGGUGAGAUCCGCCGCAAGGAGAACUGCAAGCCGCCAAGGAAGUGGAUCCGCCCUCAGCAGGGGGGACACAGCCAGGGAUCGAACUCAGGACCUUGCGCUUGCGAGGCAGACGGCGGCACCACUAAACUAAAUCCCCCGCCCCCCGUUUCUGUUUUGAAACAGUGUCCAAGUUGCCACUGUCCAGGCUGGGCUCGAACUGGCAGUCCUCUAGCCCCAGCCUCCCAGAGCGCCAAGCUGGUUCUGCGUGUUCGGGGGCGGGCGAAGGAGCAGGCCCGCCUGCCUACGCCCUGUAGACCUCGGAGCAGGAGCCAGAGCGGAGCCGGGCCUCCCAGAAUUCGAAGAUCACAAGGAAGCAGCAUCAAGCCCGUCUGGAACCCCAGCACUCAGGAGGCUGAGGCAGGAGGAUCCCAAAUUGAAGCCCAGCCUGGGCAAUUCAGCGACUUAAUGAGACCUUGUUUCAAAUUUGAAAAAAAAAGCGCUGGAUAUGUAGCUCAGUGCAAAGGCCCUGGGUUCAGUUUCCAGGAACAAAACAAAAACCCAAAAGCAAAUCCUAAAUUUUUACAGACCCAGACACAAAAAGCCUGUAAAUUGGGCCCGGGCUUUGUAGGAAGGGAUGAAUGUUGUCUGUAAAUUGAACCCCACAGACUCCACCCCAGCAACCCAGUUUUAGGUCACAAGGUCUCCCCCUUCUCCAGGGCCCCUCUCUUCUCUCUGAAUGUGUACUUUAAAUUCUGCCUAAUACAACUCUUUAUGCCUCUCACGUGCCUUUUUGUUGUUUAUAUUUUUUACUUUUUGAGAUGGUCUCACUAUGUGGUUCAGGCUGGCCUUGAACUCACCCACCGUGAAGCCCUCACUGGCCUGGAACUCGAAGUGAUCCUCCUGCCUCAGCCUCCAGAGCGCUGGGAUUACAGGCUGUGCACCUGGCUGUCUCUCACUCUAGCGUCUUGAUGGAUUUUUUUUUCCUGUGAUGGAAGUUAGCGAACCACAACAUGCCCCAUGGUGGGGUGGGUUGAGGUCCCCCUCGGGUUUCGGGGACCCCCUUGGACGCUGCCUGGUGACGAUACCUACAUUGCUGGAAUAUCGACCGCGACCCUGAUGCCCUCACCAGGCUGAGGGGCGAGGGGCAGCAGGGUUUGGGGACCGAGGCCCCGUCCUCCCUGCUCCGCUGCCCCUCGGGGCCCUGGAGGCUGCACAGCCCGACUCUCCGCCCUCACAGGCAGCCAGGCGGCUCCCGGCGGAAUUAGCAAGGCCUGACCUAAAUACAGCACAACCCGGAGCCCAGCAGCGCGGGAGCCAGCCGUGUGGGGACCCACACCAUGAG